GGAGAGAUGGCCGAGUGGUUUAAGGCGCAGCAUUGGAAAUGCUGUGUAGGGGUAACUCUACCGAGGGUUCGAAUCCCUCUCUCUCCG
rnacentral:tRNA from 24 species